rnacentral:rRNA from 1 species
UACGUAGGUGGCAAGCGUUGUCCGGAUUUACUGGGCGUAAAGAGCGCGCAGGCGGUCGUUCAAGUCGCGUGUGAAAGCCCCCCGGCUCAACUGGGGAGGGUCACGCGAUACUGAUCGACUCGAAGGCAGGAGAGGGUAGUGGAAUUCCCGGUGUAGUGGUGAAAUGCGUAGAUAUCGGGAGGAACACCAAUGGCGAAGGCAGCUCGCUGGGACGUUACUGACGCUGAGACGCGAAAGCGUGGGGGAGCAAACAGG